CUCUGGUCGCCUGGACUAGGCAUUCCUACCACCUCCCGAGAGUCCUCCCGAGCAGCCCUGUAGUUCGGCGGCCCCUACCUCUCCUUAAGAUGAUGGGGACCCGCUUCACCUCUCAGAAGGCGCCCCCCUACUCGGGCCCUGGCGCUGGGGAAGGCCUGGCAGGACAACCCCCUCCUCCCCUAGUGAGGAUGCGCCCCGACUGCGUCGCGAUCAAAUAACAGCAACCCUCACAGGCCUCGAGGCGGGCGAUCCAUCUGCUCUCAGGAGCCCCUUGCUCAGUGGCACUAGGUGUCUCCCCAGCCAUCGGGGGAGAAAUGACCCCAGCUGGACAGUGUGAAAGCAAUAUGCACCCAGCAGAAACCCUACUUCAAAUCCUGAUCUUUUCCCAGGCUGGUGGCGUUCUGGGUGAUACAUCCUCUUGCAAUGCUGGGCAGAGGCAGUGAGCUGCAGCUCCCCAUCAGCCAGGCAGUCAGGAGUUCAGUCGCUCAGUCGUGUCCGACUCUUUGCAACCCC